AGUUUGUGGAUUGUGGAAAUGAGCUAGACAUGAUCAACCCUUUGUUCUCCAUCCUUGAUGUCAAACAAUAAUCUGAUCCAAGAUGUUUUCUUUGCCUAUGUAUUGAAGUAAUCAAUAAAUGGAUCUGUUAUGUUUGUAUCAGAGUUAGUUUGAUACUUGAGUCUUUCUGUUUUGAAAGACAAGUGUUUUGAAUAAAACUAUGCUUAUGGAUUUAUUGAUUAUCCUUAAGAUACGUGAAAAUUUGAAUAAUCAUCAGUUUGAUUUCUAUCUCUCUUUAUUAUGUGGUUAUGUGUUGGAGAAACCCAAUUCUGAUUGAAGAUAUUAACUCUCACUGAGUAUGUUUGUUGAUUUAAGCUUUGAUUCACUGGUCAUGACUCCAGAAAUUUCAGCAUGAGCUUAAUCUAUAAUUGAUCUAAU
rnacentral:lncRNA from 1 species